UACGUAGGGUGCGAGCGUUGUCCGGAAUUAUUGGGCGUAAAGGGCUCGUAGGCGGUCUGUCGCGUCUGCUGUGAAAACUCGGGGCUUAACCCCGGGCCUGCAGUGGGUACGGGCAGACUAGAGUGAUGUAGGGGAGACUGGAAUUCCUGGUGUAGCGGUGAAAUGCGCAGAUAUCAGGAGGAACACCGGUGGCGAAGGCGGGUCUCUGGGCCGAAACUGACGCUGAGGAGCGAAAGCGUGGGGAGCGAACAGG
rnacentral:rRNA from 1 species